AUGGGUUUUGGUUGACCUACCUUGACAUGGUAGAGGUCGCUAGUUCGAAUCUAGUUACGCCUACCA
rnacentral:tRNA from 1 species